CCUACGGGUGGCAGCAGUGAGGAAUAUUGGUCAAUGGGCGAGAGCCUGAACCAGCCAAGUCGCGUGAAGGAUGACGGCCCUACGGGUUGUAAACUUCUUUUGUCAGGGAACAAUUGAGUCCACGUGUGGUCUUAGCGAGAGUACCUGAAGAAAAAGCAUCGGCUAACUCCGUGCCAGCAGCCGCGGUAAUACGGAGGAUGCGAGCGUUAUCCGGAUUUAUUGGGUGUAAAGGGAGCGUAGACGGUGCGCCAAGUCUGGAGUGAAAUGCCGCAGCUUAACUGCGGAACUGCUUUGGAAACUGGCGAACUAGAGUGCGGGAGGGGUAAGCGGAAUUCCUAGUGUAGCGGUGAAAUGCGUAGAUAUUAGGAGGAACACCGGUGGCGAAGGCGGCUUACUGGACCGUAACUGACGUUGAGGCUCGAAAGCGUGGGGAGCAAACAGGAUUAGAUACCCCUGUAGUC
rnacentral:rRNA from 1 species